rnacentral:rRNA from 1 species
GACGGGGGAUGCGAGCGUUAUCCGGAAUGAUUGGGCGUAAAGGGUCCGCAGGUGGCCCGGUCAGUCCGCUGUCAAAGCCUGGGGCUCAACCCUGGAGAGGCGGCGGAGACCACCGGGCUUGAGUCCGGUAGGGGCAGAGGGAAUUCCCGGUGGAGCGGUGAAAUGCGUAGAGAUUGGGAAGAACACCGGUGGCGAAAGCGCUCUACUGGGCCUGCACUGACACUGAGGGACGAAAGCUAGGGGAGCGAAAGGG